CGCCAGACUCCUACGGGAGGCAGCAGUGAGGAAUAUUGGUCAAUGGUCGUGAGACUGAACCAGCCAAGCCGCGUGAGGGAUGAAGGUACAGAGUAUCGUAAACCUCUUUUGUCAGGGAACAAAGGCGGGGACGUGUCCCCGGAUGAGUGUACCUGAAGAAAAAGCACCGGCUAACUACGUGCCAGCAGCCGCGGUAAAACGUAGGGCGCAAGCGUUGUCCGGAAUUACUGGGUGUAAAGGGAGCGCAGGCGGUCUGUCAAGUUGGGAGUGGAGACUACGGGCUCAUCCCGUAGCUUGCUUUCAAACCUGGCGGUCUUGGGUGGUGUGGAGGUAGGCGGAAUUCCCGGUGUAGCGGUGGAAUGCGUAGAUAUCGGGAGGAACAUCAGUGGCGAAGGCGGCCUACUGGGCACUAACUGACGCUGAGGCUCGAAAGCAUGGGUAGCAAACAGGAUUAGAUACCCCUGUAUAA
rnacentral:rRNA from 1 species